rnacentral:rRNA from 1 species
AAUUACGAAAGCAAAAAAUUAUGGCGGUAUUUUAAGCUUUUCAGAGGAAUUUGCUCUUUAAUGGAUAAAACACCUAAAUCUUACUUAAAUUUGUAAAUUCAAUUUGUAUACCACUAUAAAAACAAUUAAUAACUUCAAUUGUUAAAAUUUAUUAAAUUAAGUUAUAUUAAGUCAAGGUGCAGUAAAAAUUUAAGAAUGAAGUGAAUUACAUUUCUUUUUAGAGAGAGAAAUUUAAAUAACAUUUAGGAUUUGAAAGUAAAAUUGAAAUAGAAUGUCAAUUUGAAUUAAGCUCUAAAAUAUGUACAUAUCGCCCGU